UACGUAGGCGGCGAGCGUUGUUCGGAAUUACUGGGCGUAAAGAGUGUGUAGGCGGUGUUCCCAGUCUGUUGUGAAAUCUCCCGGCUUAACUGGGAGGGUGCAGCGGAAACUAGAAUGCUAGAGGGUGGGAGAGGUAAGCGGAAUUCCUGGUGUAGCGGUGAAAUGCGUAGAUAUCAGGAGGAACACCUGUGGUGUAGACAGCUUACUGGACCACUUCUGACGCUGAGACACGAAAGCGUGGGUAGCAAACAGG
rnacentral:rRNA from 1 species